rnacentral:lncRNA from 10 species
CUGGGAUCGGGGAGCAACUGAAGGCCUGGCUGCUGGAAUGCUCCUGAAACACAUUAGGCUCUCAACAUUGAUAAUACUUGAAUCAUUGUGGGUGACCUUGGGCUUCUGGAGCUUUAAGGAACAAAGUUAAGUGACACAUCCCGUUACAGAAAAAGGAAUCUGAAGAGAAGAUGGCAAAAGAGUCUGAGAGGCAGUGGCCAGAAGGAGAAGGAAAGCAGGUGGAUGUGAAGAAAGUGUUCAACGUGGAGGGAGGAACCAGCCAUGUCAAAUGAUGCUGACAGCCAGGCAAGAUGAGGACCAAGAAAUGUCCACUGCAUUUAGCAAAAUGAGGACAUUGGUGACCUUGACAAGAACAGUGUCAGGGAUGACAGUGUGAUUGGGGUGGAUUCAAGGGAGAAUGGGAGGAGAGAAUUUGGAGAUGAUGAGUCCAGACAAUCAUUUUGGAAGUGUAGGAAGCUGAGGCAUCACCCGAGAAGAAGGCUCAGCGAGUCCGUGUAAGGCAAGCGGGACUGUAAGCUCCAUGAGGACAGGAACCUUGUCUCUUGUUCGCCAUCGCCCCGCUGUGUGAGCACAGUGCUAGGGAUGUACUAGGUGUUCAAAAGGCAUAUAUUGGAUGAUGAGCUAAUGAAUGGCAAAAUGGGCAGAUUAUCACAGUACCUGAAACCACAGGACCUCACCCUAAAUGGGCACAGGCCAGAUGCCCAGUGCUUUUUUUUUUUUUUUUUUUUUGAGAUGUGGUCUCACUCUGUUGCUCAGCCUGGAGUGCAGUGGCGCAAUCACCAACCACUGCAGCCUCGACUUCCUGGGUUCAGGCAAUCCUCCCACCUCAGCUUCCUGAGCAGCUGGGACUACAGGUGUGCACCACCACACCCAGCUAAUUUUUGUACUUUUUGUAGAGACAGGGCUUUGCCAUGUUGCCCAGGCUGUUAUCGAAUUCCUGUGCUCAAGUGAUCCACCCACCUCCACCUCCAAAAAUGCUGGGAUUACAGGCGUGAGCCACCAUGCCUAGCCUGCCCGGUGCUAUUCUGAUUCAUACACUUAUAUUUAUAGCCAUCAAAUCUCAGGGCUUCCUUGGGUCCCUGGGCGACCUCUGGCCAGUCUCUUUCCUGCUCUUGCCUCUCUCACCGAGCUUAGAAGAGGCUAGGCUUAGGGCUUCUUGUAAAAUGACCAGCUUUCUCUAAUUGAAGACCAGGGUACCCUAUCACAUUUGUAUCUAUUCUUUGCUCUUUUUCUCUUUCCUAGUGACCCUCAUGUUGUCAUAUUUGUUGCCAAGCUCACUAAGGAGGGCACCACGGGACCAGGGUUGUCACCUCUAGGCAGAGGGGAAGCUUGAAAAUGACAACACAUGGCCCUAGGAUGUUCAUAGGCACCAUCACAAUUCAACUGCUUCCUCAAGGCCCAGGGAAUAUUUUUCUUUGCAAACUACUAGUAUUCUAUCAGUAUGACUAGUAGUUUAAAUUGUUUGGAAUCUUCUGGUCCAAGGCAGAGCUGUGGGGCUGUGGAGGCAAAGUCCUGCCUGAAAUGGGACCCCCUGCAGGGUGCCUGAAGUCUAAGGGUCUGGGUCCUCAGCCACGGAUCACACAGCCUGGAGCCUGUGAGUGGGGAGCCCCUGCCACACUUCCCUCAGCCAGAAUCCUAAACCCGCAGGAGUCCCGGGGCUCUGCGACACUCUCUAGCCCAACUCUCUUCAACACCAAACCCCUUAUGCAUCUGUCAGAUGGUCCUUCAACUUCUGGGUGAAGUGCCGGUUUAAAAGUGAACUGCCAGAGAAGCAGUCGCUCCAGAUGUCUUCAAAGGCCAGUGUCUGUAACCCCAUCUGUUCUUACCUCAAAGGCCAGGCUCCCAUCCAUCAUGAUGGGGAGAGGUGGGAAAGGGCUGGCUGGUCCUGUCAACUCCGAUAAACAGGUGAAACACUGGCCAGGUGUU